GGGAUCCAGGUGGGAGCCUUGUUUGACCACCUGCAUAGGCAUGGCCCAGAAAGACACACAUUCAGGAGGAAGUGGCCCUGGGGACGGCUGGGCUGUGAAAAGCGAGGUUGAAUUCCUGGACGUGACGGAGGCGGGCUGCCCCAUGACCCAGGGAACUCAGAAGCCAGAUGGUCCAUCCAAUGCCAUGUGUCGUCAGGUUGUGGAGGAGCAGGGGCUGAUCUGCUCACCAUCAGAUAAGAUGUCCUUUCCUUGGUGGCCCAGAUGUGUGGUACUGAGAAGUUCUCGUGGGAACAAUGUCCAUUUGGUUUCCUGUGAGUGAAUGGAUUUUUAAAAGGUCCCCUGUACCAAGAUUUUGUUUUAAUAAAUCCAUUGUUAGAGAUUAUUUUCACAGGCUAUGAGAAUGAGAAAUAGAGUCCUUUGAAGUCAACAGUAAAGAGAAGCAUCAAUUGGAGCCCACACCGCACUCUUCUUAUACAAAAAGCCCCCAGUUGUAUAUUACUCUGCAUCUGGCUGUUUUCCUGGAACCAUGUUUCCUACAGGCUGGCCCGGAUUCCUCCCUCCCAGCAACGGAGCAGAUUGCUGGACCCCACGGAGCGUUGGGAAAAUCUUUGGGAGAUUUCCAGUCACAAGCCGAUGCGGGAGAUGAAGCCGCCAGAACCGCUGAUCACUGGCAGGCUGGCCCUGAACUGCGCGCCCCGCCCUCCGCUGGCCGCUUGGCACACACGGCCGGUCCUCCAGCUGGUGAGUCACUGGACACUUAUUCAUCACACAGCAGGCAGCGGAAGGUGCCAGAAGGGUGUGCCGGGCAAGGAGCUGGGCCGGUCCUGCAGCCCUGGGUGCUGGUGAGUCACUGCUGCCAGGCGCUGAGCCGGGUGCCGAGGGAGGCAAGGCCCUGGCCAAGAAAGGCCAAGGCUGGCAUCUGUUUCUGCUCCACCCUCGCUGGGGGGGCCGGCAGGCGGGGGAGCAGGACCUCUCCUCUGUGUGCCCUCCAUCCUGCUGUCCCUGCCAGUGCAUACACAUGCACGUGAGCACAGUGUAACAGCACACACGUGCGCACAUGCACACACAUACACACACACACACACACACACAUGUACACGCACUAGCUAAUUCCAAGCACGUGAUCAGACGCAGAGCGGCUGCAGGUUAGGACACAGGCCUUGGAGGCUCACCUCCCUGCUCCUUCGAGGUGAACGGAGCUGCAAGUCCCCCCCCACUGCUUCCGGGGAGACCUCCUCCCACCUGCCCCGGCCCUCCAGGCAGCCCGGCCCGGCCCCAGCCCUGUGCCAGCACCGGAGGGCGGGGCCCAGUUCAGGUAGGAAGUCAUCAGCCCUGGGCUCCAACCCUGCCUCCACUGCACACACCCGACCCGGGGCCUCAGUUUCCUCUCCUGGCACGGGGCCAUCUGAUGCUGGUAGAAGUUCCCCAUUCUCAGGGAGCACUGCCGGGGCUGGUGGGAGCACCAGGCAUCACGCCAGCGAUUUCAGGGGUUCUGGCCCGAAGGACCCUCUGGGCCUCUCAAGCCUCCCGAUCCUGCCUGUGGAAACCUGGGUCCCCGCAGAUGGUCCGCAGCCCUCUGCUCCGACUCAAAGGUACCGCCUUAGCAGCUCCUCGCGUCAAGGACAUCAAUGGCUCACACAGGCCUCCUGAAAAGCAUGUCCUUUGCCAGCAACCCCAGGACAGACCCCUCGGCUGUCCCCAAGGCAACAGACUGCAAAAGGUCCUGUCUCCCACAAGGCUGUCCGUCUGCUCUUGUCCUGCGAGGGCUGGUCUGAAAGCUGCCCCAGGCAGGGGUCCUCAAAGUUCAGUUCUGCAAAUGUUUAACGCGCGCCCAGCUCUGUGCCGAGGGUCCAAAGAUGACACCCCUGCCCCCAAGGGGCCCCCAGUCCAGCAAAGGAGACGGAGACAGACAGUUCCAGACGGUGCUCGCGAGUCCCAAUUCCCAGAUACAAAACCAGCAGCUAAUUUCACCCACAAAAAUGCAAUAAAAUAGCAAAAAAACGUAGGCAGCCUCUGGAGCCAUUAAUGAUUCUAUCAAUACAGACUUAAAGUAACCGGAAAGGCGGUUUUCUGGGUACCGAACGUCUGUUCCUACCUUCCCCUGCUCUGGCUCUCCGCCCUGGGUGGGCUUCUGCGGGGCCAUUUUUCACAAAGGAAGCCAAAAGGCACACACACGAGUGUGACACCCAGAGAGCCUCUGCGGACAGUGAAGGAGGUGUAGACGUUGGGAGUUAGUGUACAGAUCCCUGCUCCAGCCCGGCGGCUGUGUGACGGAGGCCCCUCAACCGACCUGGAGGCGCGUGGGUUCCACAGCCGUAGAAGGGGGGUUGAAUGGGACCCACACUUGGAUCACCUUGAGGAACACCCAAGCCAGCCUUGG
rnacentral:lncRNA from 1 species